CASACCUCUAAUCGGAAAAGACCACCCGCUGAGUUUAA
rnacentral:rRNA from 1 species